GUACUGCAAGGGAUUUGGCC
rnacentral:misc_RNA from 1 species